CUCAGUCUUGCUGUCUCUAAAGGCCAGGCAGAGAUAGCUGAGUUUCUGUGGAAAAAAGCAGCUGGAGACCAGGAUCAAAGUCCUAGUGACCAAGUGGCAGCGAGUGAAGCUCAGGAGGAGGAAGCAGCAGAGCCUGCAGGUGAUCCAGAUGAGGUCUUUAUCCUCAACACUCACCUGUGGGAAGAAGCUUUUGGCUCUACGUUGGAUGCAGCUGCUGUGGAGAGAGGAGCAGAAGAAGAGACUUGCAAGGAAGGCCUAAGAAGCUCUGAGGAAAAGGAGACCAGUGAGGAUGAGAAUGCUUCUGCAGAGCAAGUCGGUCCCAAAGUGUGGAAGAUUUGUGUGGCACAAUAGCGGCCAGAUGGGAGUCCUCUGCCAGAC